AAACAGACAAUAUCAGGUUUCCUUAUGAGUUUUCAUGUAGCUUUUGUUAUGCUUCGGUUAUACCUUUCGUUUUUAUUGGUCUACAGGCAGGAUUGCCUACUAGAGUGGGGCAAUUGUGGGAAAGCAUUCCGUUUCUAACUUCUGCAGUGGUGAUUGUUUGUGGGACUAUCUACUUGGUCUGCCUCUUCAUCGGAUAUGACUCCUUUUAUGAAAUAUGCUUCUUGCCAUCUGCUGUUAUCUCACGAUUUCAAGUUUACAGGAUUUAUACAUCCAUUAUUUUUCAUGGUUCAUUGCUUCAUGUGCUGUUCAACAUGCUGGCUUUGGUGCCUUUGGGUUCUGAACUCGAGAGAGUCAAAACAACUUUUAGUGGCGAAAUAAAUUCUCCACUAAUAAUCAAAAUUUUCCCACCAAAAAUUAUAUUAAUGGGAAAAAAAUCACUAGCAAUAUCUGCUCCGCAAAAAAAAAAAUUUAAAAUUUGUAACAAAUUUUUCAUACCAAUUUGCAUUUAAUCUUGAUAUUAUAAAUUGCGAUAAAUUCUCUAUAUUAUUGAGAAAAAUAAUAUAUAUACAUAUAUUUGAUGGUUUUCUAA